rnacentral:misc_RNA from 1 species
GGUGUAUGUCAAUGAGCCUGCAAGCAAUUCAUAAAAAUCAGCCGUUAGUACAUUGCAUUACAAAUUAUGUCGUCGCAAAUUUUACAGCGAAUGGUUUGCUUGCGGUAGGUGCCUCACCGGUAAUGGCGGAUGCGAUCGAAGAAGCGGGAGAAAUGGCUGCUCAGUCAAGUGCAUUACUUUUAAAUUUGGGUACUUUGAAUGAACGGACAGUA